rnacentral:rRNA from 1 species
UACGUAGGGGGCGAGCGUUGUCCGGAUUUAUUGGGCGUAAAGCGUCCGCAGGCGGUCAUCCAAGUUCGUAGUGACAGUCUCCAGCUCAACUGGGGAAGGCCUAUGAAGACUGGUUGACUUGAGGGCUUCAGAGGGACAUGGAAUUCCGGGUGGAGUGGUGAAAUGCGUAGAGAUCCGGAGGAACACCAAAGGCGCAGGCAGUGUCCUGGGAAGCACCUGACGCUCAGGGACGAAAGCUAGGGGAGGCGAACGGGACGUUAGA